rnacentral:lncRNA from 1 species
UCUAUGUGUGUGCAGCAUGUAUGUACAUGUGUGUGUGUGUGUGUGUGGUAUACGUAUGCAUGCAUGUGUGAUGAUGUGUGUGUAUAUGGUGUGUGUGGUAUGUGUGUACAUGUAUAAAUGGUGUGUGUGAUGUGUGUGGUGUGUGUAUGUGUGCUUUUUUAAUUAUCGAGUAAUUUUUGAUUAGUGUUUCAAUUGUUUGCAUGUUUACUGUUGACUUAACUUCUGAAUGUUCAAGCCAAAACACACCCUUCCUCUCUGUAGGGUAUAUGUCAGGUAUUUGUCACAGUGAUGGAAAUUUAUUCCCAACAACUUAAGCCAAGGACCAUAAUGGAAAACCAGAAUCUUCCUGAAAGAAUAGACUAUUCAUGAUGGGAAAGCUAAAUUUCCAAAGGCAGAGUUUGUUUGGGGGACAGAGUGGAGAAAAUUGUAAAUUAUUUCCUCACAAUUUAACAACCCCGUACUACUCAGUGGUAACAGUUGCAAGUACGUGUUUUAUGCAUAAUCUUUGUGUUAUGAAUAUCUAAUGCAUGUGCAUAAUAUAAUGUUUGGGUAGGUUGUAGUGGUUUUUCCUAGGAGAAGCAUAAUUGCAAUAACCUUUAAAUUUCCAUAAGAAUUCCAGAUUCUCCUAGUGUUAGCAUCUAAUGGUGGCAUUGCUGACAGGCACGCUGCUAAGCUGUAUGCAUACAUUUAUUUUAUCAGGCUUUAUAGCAGCUCAGACAGGUAGGUGUGACUCCUGUAACAAAUGGGAAAUCUGUUGAUCCAGGAGAUUAUGUGUCAUGCCCAGGUGCACAUCCAUUAAGGGGUAGAGAUGUGACCCCACUUUCGUGGGCUUCCACCCAAAUAGCAUAGAGACAAAGGAGCCCAGGAUUCCAGCUUCUGUAGAUUCAUAGCACCAACAGCAUCCUGCUCCUCUCACGCCUCCCUUUGACUGGCACAGAUAUGAAGUGUACUUCACAAUAACAUUCAAAGCUGUGUGUUAAACCGGAAGGGCUAGGAAGGUGUGAUGAAAACACGUGACCGUAUUCCUUCCUGCCCAACUCACAGACUUGUGCUUCCUUUUCCAAGUCUUACAGUUACGGCUUCAACAGAGAAGGACCCAGGAGCAGCUGGCUAACCAAGGCUUAAUACCGCGUGAGUACCCACAGCUCUUCCUCAUUUGGUCAGCAUUGUGAUAUCCAGAAGAUAGGAAAUGCCUACAGAUCAAUACGUUUAAGUCAGUGCAUCUCUCACCCAAGACCCCUCAGAAUCUGUAUUUGCCGAAAUAUAGACAGUGAAUGUUUUGUCCAACUGUCUUUAUCUACACAGAGGUUAUUCUUAAGAUUCCAAUAUGGUAGAUUUACUCUCAGGAUAAACUCAGUUUCUGUUGGGCUUCCCUGGCUCUUCUACUUUUGAAAUUGGUUCUUCUAGAAGUACCAAGUGCCCUCUCGCUUUCUCUCUCUCUCUCUCUCUCUCUCUCUCUCUCUCUCUCUCUCUCUCUCUCCCCUCCCCCCGCCCGUGUGUGUGUGUGUGUGUGUGUGUGUGUGUGUGUGUGUGUGUGUAUUCAUCUUUUUUAUUUGGGUUCAGCUAUUUAAGUCCACCAUUAUUUGAAUAUUGUCAACUAUUUCCUUUAUAGAAGAUUCAGUGUAAUACUGUUCUAGCAUAAGCAGUAUAUUGAAUUACUUCCCCCCAAAAAAGUGAGUCAAAAGGGGAUUAUCAUUGGUUUUAGGAGAUAAUUUGAAAUUUCUAAACACUAACAUUAAAUCUUGGUUAUCUAGGAAAGUAUAGGGAAGGGUACCCUGGCCCCAUUAAAUUCAAAUUCAAAUUCUUCUAGGUCCUAUUAACUCUCC